UACGUAGGGAGCGAGCGUUGUUCGGAAUUACUGGGCGUAAAGGGAGCGUAGGUGGGGUGGUAAGUUAGGAGUGAAAGCCAUGGGCUUAACCCGUGAGCUGCUUUUAAUACUGCCAUUCUUGAGUGCAGGAGAGGGAAAUGGAAUUCCAGGUGUAGCGGUGGAAUGUGUAGAUAUCUGGAAGAACACCAGUUGCGAAGGCGGUUUCCUGGCCUGUUACUGACGCUGAGGCUCGAAAGCUAGGGGAGCAAAC
rnacentral:rRNA from 1 species